GCUAUACAUGCAAGUCGAGCGAACAGAUAAGGAGCUUGCUCCUUUGACGUUAGCGGCGGACGGGUGAGUAACACGUGGGUAACCUACCUAUAAGACUGGGAUAACUUCGGGAAACCGGAGCUAAUACCGGAUAACAUUUGGAACCGCAUGGUUCUAAAGUGAAAGAUGGUUUUGCUAUCACUUAUAGAUGGACCCGCGCCGUAUUAGCUAGUUGGUAAGGUAACGGCUUACCAAGGCGACGAUACGUAGCCGACCUGAGAGGGUGAUCGGCCACACUGGAACUGAGACACGGUCCAGACUCCUACGGGAGGCAGCAGUAGGGAAUCUUCCGCAAUGGGCGAAAGCCUGACGGAGCAACGCCGCGUGAGUGAUGAAGGGUUUCGGCUCGUAAAACUCUGUUAUUAGGGAAGAACAAAUGUGUAAGUAACUGUGCACGUCUUGACGGUACCUAAUCAGAAAGCCACGGCUAACUACGUGCCAGCAGCCGCGGUAAUACGUAGGUGGCAAGCGUUAUCCGGAAUUAUUGGGCGUAAAGCGCGCGUAGGCGGUUUCUUAAGUCUGAUGUGAAAGCCCACGGCUCAACCGUGGAGGGUCAUUGGAAACUGGGAAACUUGAGUGCAGAAGAGGAAAGUGGAAUUCCAUGUGUAGCGGUGAAAUGCGCAGAGAUAUGGAGGAACACCAGUGGCGAAGGCGACUUUCUGGUCUGUAACUGACGCUGAUGUGCGAAAGCGUGGGGAUCAAACAGGAUUAGAUACCCUGGUAGUCCACGCCGUAAACGAUGAGUGCUAAGUGUUA
rnacentral:rRNA from 1 species